AGUGAACGCUGGCGGUAGGCCUAACACAUGCAAGUCGAACGGCAGCACAGUAAGAGCUUGCUCUUACGGGUGGCGAGUGGCGGACGGGUGAGGAAUACAUCGGAAUCUACUUUUUCGUGGGGGAUAACGUAGGGAAACUUACGCUAAUACCGCAUACGACCUACGGGUGAAAGCAGGGGAUCUUCGGACCUUGCGCGAUUGAAUGAGCCGAUGUCGGAUUAGCUAGUUGGCGGGGUAAAGGCCCACCAAGGCGACGAUCCGUAGCUGGUCUGAGAGGAUGAUCAGCCACACUGGAACUGAGACACGGUCCAGACUCCUACGGUAGGCAGCAGUGGGGAAUAUUGGACAAUGGGCGCAAGCCUGAUCCAGCCAUACCGCGUGGGUGAAGAAGGCCUUCGGGUUGUAAAGCCCUUUUGUUGGGAAAGAAAAGCAGCAGGUUAAUACCCCGCUGUUCCGACGGUACCCAAAGAAUAAGCACCGGCUAACUUCGUG
rnacentral:rRNA from 1 species